GGAAAAGAAACUAACAAGGAUUCCCCUAGUAACUGCGAGUGAAGCGGGAAGAGCUCAAAUUUAAAAUCUGGCGGCUUUCAGUCGUCCGAGUUGUAACCUGGAGAGGCAUUUUCCGCGUUGGACCGUGUACAAGUCUCCUGGAAUGGAGCGUCAUAGAGGGUGAGAAUCCCGUCCAUGACACGGACCGCCAAUGCUCUGUGAUAUGCCUUCGAAGAGUCGCGUUGUUUGGGAAUGCAGCGCAAAAUGGGUGGUAAAUUCCAUCUAAAGCUAAAUAUUGGCGAGAGACCGAUAGCGAACAAGUACCGUGAGGGAAAGAUGAAAAGCACUUUGGAAAGAGAGUUAAACAGUACGUGAAAUUGUUGAAAGGGAAACGCUUGAAGUCAGUCGCGUUCCGUGGAACUCAGCCUUACUUCGGUUUGGUGUACUUUCCAUGUGAACGGGUCAACAUCAAUUUUGGCCGGUGGACAAAGGCGAGGGGAAUGUAGCGUUGCUUAGGUGACGUGUUAUAGCCCCUUGCUGUAUACAUCGGCUGGGAUUGAGGACUGCAGCACGCCCUUGUGGCCGGGGGUUCGCCCCACGUACGGUGCUUAGGAUGUUGGCAUAAUGGCUUUAAGCGACCCGUCUUGAAACACGGACCAAGGAGUCUAACAUGCUCGCGAGUGUUCGGGUGGAAAACCCUUGCGCGCAAUGAAAGUGAAAGUUAGGAACCUUCUCGCGAGAGAGGGUGCACUGACGCCCGGCCCUGACGUUCUCUGACGGUGCUGCGGUAGAGCAAGUAUGUUGGGACCCGAAAGAUGGUGAACUAUGCCUGAAUAGGGCGAAGCCAGAGGAAACUCUGGUGGAGGCUCGUAGCGAUUCUGACGUGCAAAUCGAUCGUCAAAUUUGGGUAUAGGGGCGAAAGACUAAUCGAACCA
rnacentral:rRNA from 1 species